rnacentral:rRNA from 1 species
UACGAAGGGGGCUAGCGUUGUUCGGAAUUACUGGGCGUAAAGCGAACGUAGGCGGUGUUCCAUGUCAGAGGUGAAAGCCUGGGGCUCAACUCCAGAAUUGCCUUUGAAACGGGAACGCUUGAGUCCGAGAGAGGGUGGCGGAAUUCCUAGUGUAGAGGUGAAAUUCGUAGAUAUUCGCAAGAACACCAGUGGCGAAGGCGGCCGACUGGUCCGGUUCUGACGCUGAGGCGCGAAAGCGUGGGGAGCAAACAGG